rnacentral:rRNA from 1 species
UGGGGAAUAUUGGACAAUGGGGGGAACCCUGAUCCAGCCAUGCCGCGUGUGUGAAGAAGGCCUUAUGGUUGUAAAGCACUUUAAGCGAGGAGGAGGCUCUUCUAGUUAAUACCUAGGAUGAGUGGACGUUACUCGCAGAAUAAGCACCGGCUAACUCUGUGCCAGCAGCCGCGGUCAUACAGAGGGUGCGAGCGUUAAUCGGAUUUACUGGGCGUAAAGCGUGCGUAGGCGGCUAAUUGAGUCGCAUGUGAAAUCCCCGAGCUUAACUGGGGAAUUGCAUUCGAUACUGGUUAGCUAGAGUGUGGGAGAGGAUGGUAGAAUUCCAGGUGUAGCGGUGAAAUGCGUAGAGAUCUGGAGGAAUACCGAUGGCGAAGGCAGCCAUCUGGCCUAACACUGACGCUGAGGUGCGAAAGAAUGGGGAGCAAACAGG